rnacentral:rRNA from 1 species
UACGGGGGGGGCAAGCGUUGUUCGGAAUUACUGGGCGUAAAGGGCUCGUAGGCGGCCAACUAAGUCAUACGUGAAAUCCCUCGGCUUAACCGGGGAACUGCGUCUGAUACUGGAUGGCUUGAGAUUGGGAGAGGGAUGCGGAAUUCCAGGUGUAGCGGUGAAAUGCGUAGAUAUCUGGAGGAACACCGGUGGCGAAGGCGGCAUCCUGGACCAACACUGACGCUGAGGCGCGAAAGCCAGGGGAGCAAACGGG